rnacentral:rRNA from 1 species
UUCGUAGGUGACCUGCGGAGGAUCAUUACCGUACGAUUAGGAGGUUGGAUGCUGGCCCGUGAGGGCAAGUGCGCGCCUUUGUUUUUUUUUGGAANCCCNUANANACCNGGGNACCNANGGGGAGNGCCNUCCGNUUGGANCCNNCNGGGGCGNAACCCCNUUCNUGGGGGGGGCGGGCCGGGCCGAGGCGCUCCCUCUUUACAUUACAACCCCGUCUUAACUCGCAUGUCUUUGAAGCUUAAUAAAGCAGUGACAACUUUCAACAACGGAUCUCUUGGCUUUCGCAUCGAUGAAGAACGCCGCGAAAGUGCGAAACGUAAUGUGAAUUGCAGAAUUCAGUGAAUCAUCGAAUCUUUGAACGCAUCUUGCGCUCCUUGGUAUUCCGAGGAGCAUGCCUGUUUGAGUGUCGUGAACUCCCUCGACCCUUCUUUAUCAAGAAGGGUUGGAUUUGGACGCUUGCGGCGGAUCCUUUUCUCGUCGCUCGUCUUUAAAUGCAUCGGGCUGGCCUUUCCUUUUUCUUUUAGAGUCGGUUCGACGACGGUGUGAUAAACAAAGCGCCGUUCGGGGGCCGACUUUUGAAAUUCCGGGAGGGGUCGCUUAUAGCCGUCUUCGGACAAAAA